rnacentral:misc_RNA from 1 species
CAUACGACCUAUCACUCACAGACCAAUGGACCACCUGGGAUUGGACUGAGACCUCUGAAUUCACCAAAUACAGUUUCUGGUAUUGGAUCAUAUGACCAGCUUAUCCAGCAGUAUCAGCAACACCAGAACCAGUCCCAAUUUCGAUUGCAACAAAUAUCAGCUGUCAAUCAACCAUUUAGGGAUCAGGGCAUGAAAUCCAUGCAAGCAGCGCAAUCUGCUCCAGAUCCAUUUGGGUUACUUGGCUUGUUAAGUGUUAUACGGAUGAGUGACCCUGAUCUGACUUCCCUGGCUCUUGGAAUUGAUUUAACAACUCUCGGA